rnacentral:tmRNA from 1 species
GGGGUUGACUGGUUUUGACAGCAGGCCGGUGUGGUAUGUAAGCAUGCAGGGAUUUGACUGUUUGCCCUUGAUUAAAUGGUCACAACAAUAAUUGGCGAAGAAAACUUUGCUCUUGCUGCUUAAUCGAAUUACAGUAGAUUCAAGCUCCUCUUCGGAGGAUUUCCGGCAUUAGAUGCUGGAACAAGACGUUUCCCGGGCGGUCAAUACCUCUCACCAACCUGAAUCGGAAGCGCUCGUAAUCAGAGGUUAGUGUCGCGCAGGCUUCGGUCGCGAUGCGAAAUUAAGAAGCUAAGGUAAACGUCGGUGGCUCUGAUCCAGCGUUUACACGAAAACUAAGUCAGGCUAAGCAUGUAGAAAGCGUAUGGCUCCCCUGUUUGGACCCGGGUUCGAAUCCCGGCAGCUCCACUU